rnacentral:rRNA from 1 species
UACGUAGGGUGCGAGCGUUAAUCGGAAUUACUGGGCGUAAAGCGUGCGCAGGCGGUUCGUGAUGUCUGAUGUGAAAGCCCCGGGCUCAACCUGGGAAUUGCAUUGGAAACUAGCGGGCUGGAGUGUGGCAGAGGGGGGUGGAAUUCCACGUGUAGCAGUGAAAUGCGUAGAGAUGUGGAGGAACACCGAUGGCGAAGGCAGCCCCCUGGGCUAACACUGACGCUCAUGCACGAAAGCGUGGGUAGCAAACAGG